rnacentral:rRNA from 1 species
CAGCAGCCGCGGGAAUACGGAGGGUGCAAGCGUUAAUCGGAAUUACUGGGCGUAAAGCGCACGCAGGCGGUCUGUCAAGUCAGAUGUGAAAUCCCCGGGCUUAACCUGGGAACUGCAUUUGAAACUGGCAGGCUAGAGUCUUGUAGAGGGGGGUAGAAUUCCAGGUGUAGCGGUGAAAUGCGUAGAGAUCUGGAGGAAUACCGGUGGCGAAGGCGGCCCCCUGGACGAAGACUGACGCUCAGGUACGAAAGCGUGGGGAGCAAACAGGAUUAGAUACCCCAGUAGUCCCUGUCUCUUAUAU